rnacentral:rRNA from 1 species
AUGGUGGCCGCCUACGUCGUCAUCUACCUCGGCGUAGCUUUCGUGUCACUGCUCAUAGUGCUUGCGGGCAGGGUGCUUGCGGGCCGCAGGCGCUGGGGGGCGCGGGGUGAUGGUGGCCACGUCCUGCGCCUCCCGCCGGGGCCGUGGCAGCUGCCGGUGAUCGGCAGCCUCCACCACCUCGUCCUGACCGGGCAGCUCCCUCACCGCGCGAUGCGCGACCUGGCGCGGCGUCACGGGCCGGCCAUGCUGCUCCGGCUAGGCGAGGUGCCCACGGUGGUGGUGUCAUCCCGGGAGGGGGCCCGCGAGGUGAUGAAGACCCACGACAAGGCGUUCGCGAUGCGGCCCGUGAGCGCCACCAUGCGCGUGCUCACCAGCGGCGGCCGGGACAUCGUGUUCGCGCCCUACGGGGACUACUGGCGCCAGCUCCGGAAGAUCGCCGUCGUGGAGCUCUUCACCGCGCGCCGCGUCCGCUCCUUCCGCGCCAUCCGCGAGGAGGAGGUCGCCGCAGUGCUCCGGGGCGUCGGCGAGGCCGCGGCGGCCGCGCGCCCCGUGGAGAUGCGCGCGCUACUGGCCGCGCUCGUGGCGGACAGCACGGUGCGCGCCGUGAUUGGCGACCGGUGCAGGGAGCGCGACGCGCUCCUCCGAGAGCUCGACCGCUCCAUGCAGCUCGCGGCGGGGUUCAACCCGGCCGACCUGUGGCCUUCGUGGCGGCUCGCCGCGCGGCUCAGUGGCGCCGAGGAGUGCCACGACACCGUGCACGGUAUCCUCGACGGCAUCGUCAAGGAGCACCUGGAGAGGAUGGACGGCGGCGAGGACUUGCUUGACGUGCUGCUGAGGAUCCGGAUGGAAGGUGGCCUCCAGUUUCCGCUCGACAUGGACGCCAUCAAAUCCGUCAUCAUGGAUAUAUUAGGCGCAGGGAGUGAAACAGCAGCUACGACGCUGGAAUGGGCCAUAGCAGAGCUGGUCAAGAACCCGAAGGCCAUGCACAAGGCGACGGCCGAGUUGCGGCGAGCCUUCCAUGCCCGCGGCACCGUGGCCGAGAAAGACCUAAGAGAGCUCACAUACCUACGGCUGAUCAUUUGGGAGACAUUGCGGCUGCACCCGCCCCUACCGUUGCUGUUCCGCGAGUGCCAGGAACCGUGCCAGGUGCUAGGGUACGAUGUGCCGCGGGGCACCCAGGUGCUGGUCAAUGCUUGGGCGCUAGGCCGAGACGAGCGCUACUGGCCCGACGCGCCCGAGGAGUUCUGGCCCGAGCGCUUCGAGGGAGAAGCGGCGGUGGACUUUAGGGGCGCCGAUUUCGCGUUCCUGCCUUUCGGCGUCGGCCGCAGGAUGUGCCCUGGGAUGGCGUUCGGCCUCGCCAACAUAGAGCUCCCGCUCGCGAGCUUGCUCUUCCACUUUGAUUGGCAAUGGGUAGGACCAUGCUCGGCGAAGCUUGACAUGACCGAGGCAUUUGGCCUCACCGCGAGGCGGAAGGACCAACUCCUAUUGCAACCUCUCCUUCGGGUACCUCUUCUCGGAGUAUAG